UAUAUUUUAGUAUACGAUGUACUUAAAUUUUUGAUAUUUAGCGAAAUAGUUUAAUUCUAUUAAAUAUAG
rnacentral:tRNA from 1 species